rnacentral:rRNA from 1 species
UGAGUACGAGACGCUAAGGCGUCGAAGUAGUGUAUGUCAUACUUCCAAGAAAAGCUUGCACUGUCAUUCAUAAAAAAUGCCUGUACCAUAACCGACACAGGUGGGUAGGUAGAGUAUACUAAGGGGCGCGAGAUAACUCUCUCUAAGGAACUCGGCAAAAUAACUCCGUAACUUCGGGAGAAGGAGUGCCUUAUUUAUAUAAGGUUGCAAUAACAAGAUCCAAGCAACUGUUUACCAAAAACACAGGUCUCCGCUAAGUCGUAAGACGAUGUAUGGGGGCUGACGCCUGCCCAGUGCCAGAAGGUUAAAGAAGUUGGUUAGCAAUAGCGAAGCUGAUAACUGAAGCCCUGGUGAACGGCGGCCGUAACAAUAACGGUCCUAAGGUAGCGAAAUUCCUUGUCGGGUAAGUUCCGACCCGCACGAAAGGCGUAAUGAUUUGGAUACUGUCUCGGAGAGGGACUCGGUGAAAUAGACUUGUCUGUGAAGAUGCGGACUACCUGCACCUGGACAGAAAGACCCUAUGAAGCUUUACUGUAACUUGAAAUUGAAAUUGGACUUUAUUCGCGCAGUAUAGGUGGGAGGCGUUGAAAAUAAUCUUGCGGGACUAUUGGAGCCAUCAGUGAGAUACCACUCUUAUAAUGUUAGAUUUCUAACUUUGAAUCAUUAUCUGGUCAAAGAACAGUUUCAGGCGGGCAGUUUGACUGGGGCGGUCGCCUCCCAAACGGUAACGGAGGCGUACAAAGGUUUCCUCUGAACGGGUAGAAAUCGUAUCUAGAGUAUAAAGGCAAAAGGAAGCUUGACUGUGAGACCUACAAGUCGAGCAGGGACGAAAGUCGGUCUUAGUGAUCUGACGGUACUGAGUGGAAAGGCCGUCACUCAACGGAUAAAAGUUACUCUAGGAUAACAGGCUGAUCUCCCCCAAGAGUUCACAUCGACGGGGAGGUUUGGCACCUCGAUGUCGGCUCAUCGCAUCCUGGGGCGGUAGUACGUCCCAAGGGUUGGGCUGUUCGCCCAUGAAAGCGGUACGCGAGCUGGGUUCAGAACGUCGUGAGACAGUUCGGUCCAUAUCCGGUGUAGGCGUUAGAAUAUUGAGAGGAGCCUUCUUUAGUACGAGAGGACCGAGAAGGACAUACCUCUGGUGUACCAGUUAUCGUGCCAACGGUAAACGCUGGGUAGCUAUGUAUGGAGUGGAUAACCGCUGAAAGCAUCUAAGUGGGAAGCCCACCUCAAGAUGAGUAUUCUCAU